rnacentral:rRNA from 1 species
UACGUAGGCAGCAAGCGUUGUUCGGAGUUACUGGGCGUAAAGAGUGCGUAGGCGGUCCUGUAAGUUUGGUGUGAAAUCCCCCGGCUCAACUGGGAGGGUGCGCCGAAGACUGCAGGGCUUGAGUAUGGGAGAGGUAAGCGGAAUUCCUGGUGUAGCGGUGAAAUGCGUAGAUAUCAGGAGGAACACCUGUGGUGUAGACAGCUUACUGGACCAUAACUGACGCUGAGGCACGAAAGCGUGGGUAGCAAACAGG